UACAGAGGUCCCAAGCGUUGUUCGGAUUCACUGGGCGUAAAGGGUGCGUAGGUGGCAGGGUAAGUUUGAUGUGAAAUCUCCGGGCUUAACCCGGAAACUGCAUUGAAUACUAUCCUGCUUGAGGUUUGGAGGGGGGACUGGAAUUCUCGGUGUAGCAGUGAAAUGCGUAGAUAUCGAGAGGAACACCAGUGGCGAAGGCGAGUCCCUGGACAACACCUGACACUGAGGCACGAAAGCUAGGGGAGCAAACAGG
rnacentral:rRNA from 1 species